AUUGAACGCUGGCGGCAGGCCUAACACAUGCACGUCGAACGAGUGGCGGACGGGUGAGUAAUGUCUGGGAAACUGCCUGAUGGAGGGGGAUAACUACUGGAAACGGUAGCUAAUACCGCAUAGCAUAAGAUGUGCCCCGAUGGGAUUAGCUAGUUGGUGGGGUAACGGCUCACCAAGGCGAAGAUCCCUAGCUGGUCUGAGAGGCUGACCAGCCGCACUGGAACGGAGACACGGCCCAGACUCCUACGGGAGGCAGCAGUGGGGAAGAGUGAACAAUGGGCGCACGCCUGAUGCAGCCAUGCGGCGUGUAUGAAGAAGGCCUGCGGGUUGUAAAGUACUUUCAGCGGGGAGGCGUUACCCGCAGAAGAAGCACCGGCUAACUCCGUGCCAGCAGCCGCGGUAAUAC
rnacentral:rRNA from 1 species